AACGAACGCUGGCGGCAUGCCUAACACAUGCAAGUCGAACGAGACCUUCGGGUCUAGUGGCGCACGGGUGCGUAACGCGUGGGAACCUGCCCUUAGGUUCGGUAUAACUCCCUGAAAGGGGUGCUAAUACCGGUUAAUGUCUUCGGACCAAAGAUUUAUCGCGUUUGGAUGGGCCCGCGUUGGAUUAGCUAGUUGGUAGGGUAAAAGCCUACCAAGGCGACGAUGCAGAGCUGGUCGGAGAGGAUGGUCAGCCACACUGGGAGUGAGGCACGGCCCAGCCUCCUACGGGAGGCAGCAGUGGGGAAUAAUGAACAGUGGGCGCAAGCCUGAGCCAGCACGGCCGCGUGAGUGAUGAAGGCCUUAGGGAUGUCAAGCUCUUUUGCCCGGGAUGAUAAUGACAGUUACGGGGGAAUAAGCCCCGGCUUACUCCGUG
rnacentral:rRNA from 1 species